CGAAGCUAGGCAAAAUACUCUGACUGUAAGAUGCCCUUCUCUUGAAGAGGGCGGAGGAGAUCGGUGAAGCGGGGGCGUGGAAGGCCUGAGAGCGGACGGAGCGGAGGCCGGUGAAGGCUCGCGACAAGAGAGCUGAAGCCAUAGAGGAAUUGGGAGAGUAGAGAAGGGGCGAGAUGGGUUGGAUUCAACAGAGUGCCAUUGCUGCUGAUCCUGUAGCAGCUGGAGUCCGAUGAUGGAGAUGGGUGUUCGUUCUCUG
rnacentral:misc_RNA from 1 species